rnacentral:pre_miRNA from 9 species
AUAUCGCUCCAUUUGGCUUCAUCGCCCUCACCCAGGAAAGGGGGCGAUAUCGCCCCCUUUCCUGGGUGAGGGCGAUGA